rnacentral:rRNA from 1 species
GAUUAAUACCCCAUAAUAUAAUGAAUGGCAUCAUUUAUUAUUGAAAACUCCGGUGGAUAGAGAUGGGCACGCGCAAGAUUAGAUAGUUGGUGAGGUAACGGCUCACCAAGUCGAUGAUCUUUAGGGGGCCUGAGAGGGUGAUCCCCCACACUGGUACUGAGACACGGACCAGACUCCUACGGGAGGCAGCAGUGAGGAAUAUUGGACAAUGGGUUAGCGCCUGAUCCAGCCAUCCCGCGUGAAGGACGACGGCCCUAUGGGUUGUAAACUUCUUUUGUACAGGGAUAAACCUACUCUCGUGAGAGUAGCUGAAGGUACUGUACGAAUAAGCACCGGCUAACUCCGUGCCAGCAGCCGCGGUAAUACGGAGGGUGCAAGCGUUAUCCGGAUUUAUUGGGUUUAAAGGGUCCGUAGGCGGAUCUGUAAGUCAGUGGUGAAAUCUCACAGCUUAACUGUGAAACUGCCAUUGAUACUGCAGGUCUUGAGUAAGGUAGAAGUGGCUGGAAUAAGUAGUGUAGCGGUGAAAUGCAUAGAUAUUACUUAGAACACCAAUUGCGAAGGCAGGUCACUAUGUCUUAACUGACGCUGAUGGACGAAAGCGUGGGGAGCGAACAGGAUUAGAUACCCUGGUAGUCCACGCCGUAAACGAUGCUAACUCGUUUUUGGGCUUUCGGGUUCAGAGACUAAGCGAAAGUGAUAAGUUAGCCACCUGGGGAGUACGUUCGCAAGAAUGAAACUCAAAGGAAUUGACGGGGGCCCGCACAAGCGGUGGAUUAUGUGGUUUAAUUCGAUGAUACGCGAGGAACCUUACCAAGGCUUAAAUGGGAAUUGAUCGGUUUAGAAAUAGACCUUCCUUCGGGCAAUUUUCAAGGUGCUGCAUGGUUGUCGUCAGCUCGUGCCGUGAGGUGUUAGGUUAAGUCCUGCAACGAGCGCAACCCCUGUUACUAGUUGCUACCAUUAAGUUGAGGACUCUAGUAAGACUGCCUACGCAAGUAGAGAGGAAGGUGGGGAUGACGUCAAAUCAUCACGGCCCUUACGCCUUGGGCCACACACGUAAUACAAUGGCCGGUACAGAGGGCAGCUACACAGCGAUGUGAUGCGAAUCUCGAAAGCCGGUCUCAGUUCGGAUUGGAGUCUGCAACUCGACUCUAUGAAGCUGGAAUCGCUAGUAAUCGCGCAUCAGCCAUGGCGCGGUGAAUACGUUCCCGGGCCUU